CAGAUGCUUCUGCAAGAUCCUUUCAUCUAAUGGAACAGAAGUGCAGCACUAGUAAAUAUGCACCUGUGAGAGCACACUGAAUUUGGGACAAAGUGUCUUAGGCAGCAGUUGGAUACAUAUCAGAAGAAAAAUAACACCCUUUCUCUACCACUGCUUUUUACUAUUGUGGCAAACUAUUGUCUGCUAUUCACCACAACAUCUACUCAGUGGAAGCCACAUUCAUAAGAUACUGUUCUAAGCUGUUUCAUGUUCCAACAACUACUCCCUUAUUUUCCUUGAGUGGACUGCCAUUUUCAACACAUACAAAAGCUUCUAAUUGCCACAGGGCCCACAAAGUCCCACUUAGGAAGAACUAGGAUUUCUUUUUGCUGGUAUAUCUUCACUAUUUUUUUUCAUUGAAAAAUUGAACAGAGAAGAAAUAUAAUUUAUUGACACACAUUUUCCAAAAGAAUCCUGCUCAGUAAUCUGAAAUUCUGUUUAUAUAUAUUAGAAUUCCCGUUAUCUUUACUUACAACAAAUUCUCGACACUAUAGAUUAAUUUGUUAUACAAAACUUUGCAUUUUUAACCAAGUAAUAUUUUCAAAAGUAAAACAUUAGACUGAAGAACUGCCAACCUCCUGCACCUACUGUAUUUCUAGGUAAUCUUGUCUGCAAACAUUAACUCAACUACUACCUCUAGACAGGGUAAUCACUUCAGCAAACAUUCAGUUACUAAUCUCUGAAAACACAGCUCACACAGCUGUCUUCUUGCUAUACAUCUAUCUCCUUUAGAUUAAACAGACUGAUUCUCUGUUCACUCAAGCACAGUUGCUUUCAUUCAUACUGGAUCACCAUUUUACCUGUAUCCACACGAUGGACUUUCAUCUACCACUCAGGACAUUCCUUAAAGCUUCAACUUCAGGGUAAAUUCAAAUGUUGUGAAUUUUAGACGAAUAACAACUCCUGGGCAAGUUUUAUUCUGCAGAAGUCUGCUUACACAAGUAAAGCAAGUACAUGAGUUUUCAUGACAGUAAUCCUAUACUGCAAACAGUAUAGGAAUUUGGACAGUAUAACAUUAUCUAAAGACAUUAUUUCUGUAGCAUCUUUCAUUGCCUCCCAUUCCACCAAUACUAGCUUAGCUCUUAUUCACUUGUUAAAAUUUCAGAUAAGUAUCUUUAUGUUUUCUCCCACAUUUUCCUUUGGUUUGAGAGAGGUUGCUGGUUAACAAAUCCACUUCAAACUAUCUUAGAUCCUUUCUUAGUAAUCUCUCUUGCCACUCAGUAUGUAGAAAGAAUUGCUGGUGAUUUAUGUACUGGUGUGAUAAAACCUCUGCUUUUUGUGUAAACCUGCCUUACUGCCUCUUUAUAUGAUUAUAUUUGUCUCUAGCAAUUUACUUUCUUAUACUGUAGGCUCAUUGCAGAAUGUUUUCCCUUGGGGUCUUAGCAACACUGUGGUGGUACUGCUACUGCUCCUGAAAAAGAAUUAUUUGAACAAGAAGAGAAUCAGAACCAUUAUAUCCAUAUAUUUCAACACAUAACACUAUUUUUUACAAAGGCCAAGCAAUUUUACAAUCCCAAGCAAUAUUCACACUCUUGUAGUUUUGUGCAAGUGUGAAGAAGCAUCUGUUCUCUGAGCAUGGUACAGACUAACUAUUCACAUACAAAAGACCACUCUUUUGAAAUGAGCAUAUUUUGUAGAAUCACAGAUAAUGUCAUUCAAUGUUAACCCUCUAAGACAAAAAUGUAUAGUAUGUUGCAACAAAGGCAUGAGCUUCAGUUACUCCAGGAAUCACAGAAAGAAAUUUCUUCAAAUAAAAAUAACUUGAACAUGCACACCAUAACCAUCACAUCUUGAAGCAAGGAUUUAUACUGCAUCUACAAAAAUGACCGUCAAUUUUUGCUAAGAGCAAAGAAAUACUAUAUUAUUAUUAUUAUUAAAAGCACAUCAGUAUUUUCUAUUGUCAAAUUCACCUGAUGAUAUGCAUAAGCCUCAUGAAGUUCAAGGCCUAGUGCAAGGUUCUGCAUCUGGGUCAGGGCAAUCCCAAGCACAUACGCAGGCUGAUGAAAAACUCAGCCUGACCCAGAAAUGUUCCUUCACAGAUCAGAAAGCCAAUUAUAUCCUGGACUACAUCAAAAGCAGCAUGGCCAGCAGGUGAAGGGAGGUGAUUCUCCCUGUAUACUGUGCUCUUGUGAGACCUCACCUGGAAUACUGCAUUCAGCUUUAUGUCCCCCAAUAUAAGAGGACAUGGACCUGUUGGAAUGGAAGAGAGCCACAAAGAUUAUCAUGGGGCUGAAAUAGUUCUAUCUACUAGUAGAUAGAUGGAGGGAUCUGUUUUGUUUAGCCAGGAGAAGAGAAGGCUUUGAGAAGACUUGAUUAUAGUACCUAAUGGGGAGCUACAAGAAAGCUGGAGAGGGACUUUUUAUAAGAACACAUGAUAGGAGAAGGGGUAUUGACUUUAAACUGAGAGAAAGCAGAUUUAAUUUAGAUAUAAGGAAGAAAUACUUCACUGUGGGGGUGGUGAGGUUGCCCCAGAGAAGAUGUGGAUGUCCUAUCCUUGGAAGUUUGAGGCCACAUUGGUUGGGAAUUUGAGUACAUUGGUCUAGUGGAAGACAUCCCUGCACAUGGCAAGUGGUUUAGAGCAAGAUAGAUAAACCUUAAGGCCCAUAGCAUGACGAUAAUCAUUUUAAAUAUUUCUAUUUGAAUGUCUGCUGUCCAGGGCUAAUUUUGUUAUG